GCAAAGGGUUGCUUGUCUGUGUGCCUGAGGCACCUCAUCUCCGGAGGCCAGGCUCUUGAAUAUACAAGGCAGAUCCCAGGUUAAAGUUGCUGGGUCUGCUUGCUGGCUUUAUUUGCUGAUACUGAGCCGGCACUGGAUUUAGAGGGCUAAUACACCAUCCUGCUCACCGAGGAGACGAAACUGCUGUGCAUGUGGCUGUCAUCUAAGCGGUGAAGUGACUACAGCAUCGGUACGGCAGCGGCCAAGGCUUGCCCGCAGUGGUGAAAGAUGUCUCACCCUCCUGCCUGUGUGGGGGCGGCUGCGCUCACUGACGCGUGCCCAUCGUGCUGUGCCGCAGUGGACCAAGACACCUGCCCCAAACAGGAUAUGCAUCCCUGUCCGGAGCAGACUUUUGAGGUGAAUCCCUGCCAAUGCCAGGGUGCAGCCCCGUGCCUGGAUGUGUGCCUUCAGCCAGGUCCUGCCUGCGCACCCCCCACUGUCCCUGUGCCUGGGGACGCCUGCUGCCCCGAGCUGGCACCUGCCUGCAACUCUUGCGCAUCUCCGUGUGUCACCACCUGCGUGUGUCCAGCGGUUGUCCCCUGUGACCUCCAGCAAAGCCAGGGAGGGACCAGCUUCCCGCUGAAGCCCACAGCCUUGCCAAUAGAACCCUGCAGCCCUGAGAUCGUGGGGACAUGCGGGGAGACCUUCCCUCACCAGCAACCUGUGUCACCGAUGGAACCCUGCACCAUCGAAGUGCUUGAGACCAGCAUGGAGACCUUCCCCAUCGGUUGCGCAGCCUUGCCGGUGGAGCCCUGCUGUGCUCAGGCUGCGAUCAGCAGUGAUCCUUGCCCCGAUCAGUGCCCGGUUACACACGUGGAUCCCUGUAUGCCUCUAAACGUGGUUUGUGCAGAGCCGUGCAUGCCCCAGAGCACUGCGGGACCCUGCGCACCCCAGAGCACCGGGGAACCCACGGCCACCGACUCCACCAAGGGCACAAGCAAAGGUGCUGGUGCCUGCCCGUCCCCACGAGCACCUUUCCGCCUCAACACCCGCACCGCGGCCAUCGUGGAGCGGUGCCUGUCCCGGUGUCAGAACUGGCUGCGAGGCAAGAACUGAGUG